rnacentral:rRNA from 1 species
GGACCCGCACAAGCGGUGGAUGAUGUGGUUUAAUUCGAUGCAACGCGAAAAACCUUACCCACCUUUGACAUGUAUGGAAUCCUUUAGAGAUAGAGGAGUGCUCGAAAGAGAGCCAUAACACAGGUGCUGCAUGGCUGUCGUCAGCUCGUGUCGUGAGAUGUUGGGUUAAGUCCCGCAACGAGCGCAACCCUUGCCAUUAGUUGCUACGAAAGGGCACUCUAAUGGGACUGCCGGUGACAAACCGGAGGAAGGUGGGGAUGACGUCAAGUCCUCAUGGCCCUUAUAGGUGGGGCUACACACGUCAUACAAUGGCUGGUACAGAGGGUUGCCAACCCGCGAGGGGGAGCCAAUCCCAUAAAGCCAGUCGUAGUCCGGAUCGCAGUCUGCAACUCGACUGCGUGAAGUCGGAAUCGCUAGUAAUCGCGGAUCAGAAUGUCGCGGUGAAUACGUUCCCGGGUCUU